rnacentral:rRNA from 1 species
AUUGAACGCUGGCGGCAGGCUUAACACAUGCAAGUCGAACGAGUGGCGGACGGGUGAGUAAUGUCUGGGAAACUGCCUGAUGGAGGGGGAUAACUACUGGAAACGGUAGCUAAUACCGCAUACCAUCGGAUGUGCCCAGAUGGGAUUAGCUAGUAGGUGGGGUAAUGGCUCACCUAGGCGACGAUCCCUAGCUGGUCUGAGAGGAUGACCAGCCACACUGGAACUGAGACACGGUCCAGACGCCUACGGGAGGCAGCAGUGGGGAAUAUUGCACAAUGGGCGCAAGCCUGAUGCAGCCAUGCCGCGGGUAUGAAGAAGGCCUUCGGGUUGUAAAGUACUUUCAGCGGGGAGGCGUUACCCGCAGAAGAAGCACCGGCUAACUCCGUGCCAGCAGCCGCGGUAAUAC